GAUGAACGCUGGCGGCGUGCCUAAUACAUGCAAGUCGAGCGAACAGAUAAGGAGCUUGCUCCUUUGACGUUAGCGGCGGACGGGUGAGUAACACGUGGGUAACCUACCUAUAAGACUGGAAUAACUCCGGGAAACCGGGGCUAAUGCCGGAUAACAUUUAGAACCGCAUGGUUCUAAAGUGAAAGAUGGUUUUGCUAUCACUUAUAGAUGGACCCGCGCCGUAUUAGCUAGUUGAUAAGGUAACGGCUUACCAAGGCAACGAUACGUAGCCGACCUGAGAGGGUGAUCGGCCACACUGGAACUGAGACACGGUCCAGACUCCUACGGGAGGCAGCAGUAGGGAAUCUUCCGCAAUGGGCGAAAGCCUGACGGAGCAACGCCGCGUGAGUGAUGAAGGUCUUCGGAUCGUAAAACCCUGUUAUUAGGGAAGAACAAAUGUGUAAGUAACUGUGCACGUCUUGACGGUACCUAAUCAGAAAGCCACGGCUAACUACGUG
rnacentral:rRNA from 1 species